rnacentral:rRNA from 1 species
UACGUAGGGUGCAAGCGUUGUCCGGAAUUAUUGGGCGUAAAGAGCUCGUAGGCGGUUUGUCGCGUCUGGUGUGAAAAUCCAGGGCUUAACCCUGGACCUGCAUCGGGUACGGGCAGACUAGAGUGCGGUAGGGGAGAUCGGAAUUCCUGGUGUAGCGGUGAAAUGCGCAGAUAUCAGGAGGAACACCGGUGGCGAAGGCGGAUCUCUGGGCCGUAACUGACGCUGAGGAGCGAAAGCCAGGGGAGCAAACGGG